UCUCUCUUUCGCCUUCACAAU
rnacentral:siRNA from 1 species